AGGUAGAAACUGCGCGAACAACCCGCAGUGUGGGUUCGUCUCGCACGCUCUGAGCAGCAAACGGAAGCCGUCAAACGCACACGGAAUCACCUCCGUUGGCUGACACACGUUCGCUCACACGCGACGUUACGGCUGUUUCUGGCAGUGGUUGAACGAUGAAUCGCACGGAGCUUCAGUUGGAUGUGAAAGCAGGGUUGCAUGACGAGAACAUGCACGCUCAAGGACACAUUUGCAUCUCGACCUUUGAAGAGGAAUAGCUGCAACCCACCAUGCCGAUGGAAGGGCCCAGGCCUCCAGUCAUCUCCAUCUGGUGGUGUUUCAUGAUGUAGGCCAGCAACUCCCUCCAGUUGUAGCCGUCGGGUAUGGCGAUGGUGGUGACGGAGGGAAGCCUCAAGUCCUGCGGGAUGUUUUUGAAAUGACUGUUGUUAACAAGUUGCUACGACAGCACACAGUUUAUUAUUUUUGUUUGUUAUGUGUUCAGUCAUUUUCAGUGUCCUGUACUGCAGCAGAAAAAGCCCAGUCUGCAGUUUCAUUUUUAAGUCUACCGUACCGCUUCAGGAAUGAAGAGCUUGAGGCCCAAGUCCCCCAGGCCCCUGUACAGGUAGCCUGCCACCUCCUUGUGUUUCCUCCAGGACUCCUCCAGCCCCUAGAGGGUGACAAAGAUUGACAAGAGUUAUGUGAGAAUCAGACGGGAGGUUCAGAGGGGACUUUGCCAACAGUACCAAGUCUAAACUACAGCACCACUAAAGGCUAAUUCAAAGAGCUAAGUCAAUUUUCAAGAAAAGAUAAAACACUGCCUCUCUAAAGAUGUAAUGAUAUGUAGGUCAAAGAUUCAUAUCUAUUGCCAAUAAAAGCAACAUGCGUUAUUGCGGAAAAAGAAAAUGACAAUUCUGCGCGAUCAA